UCAAACUUCCCUCUGGAAUUUCACAAGCCAGGCCUCCAUCUUCUGCACUGCUCUCAACAUUCUUGUCUGCCAGGCUCUCACAGAACAGCUCACUAAGCUCUCAACACUCAAUGGCUUUUCUCUCCCAAAGUUCUGAAGUCCUUCCACAAUCCUUCCAAAACAACACGGUCAGAAUUCACCUGUCUUAGGAGCUAAUAGAAAAGAUGGUGGCUUAAAUGCAAUGCCAAUAACACGUAAAAUAAUUAAUAAACUAAGAAAAGAAGGGGAUUGACUAACUUUCUCAAGAUAUUGACGAAUCAGCAGGCAGCAUCAUACCUCACGAUGAAGGACUAAAGAUGAUUCUCCUAAAACCACAAUCAAAGAAAAGCCUACCAAGAGGUGAGAAGCUUUGCUCCUCUGGGUACUGUCACUAAGUGGAUCUUCUUCAACCCCAGCUGGGUCAAACAAGUACACAUUGCCAUCCUGGAAACAGUGACACACACACACACAACACACACACACACACACACACACACACACACACACACACACACACACACACACACUACCCAUGUGCUCUGUGUAAAUUAGGUUGUCCUUCAGGACUGUUCUGUAUUCUGCUUUCCAUUCCCUAAAAGAAAUAUACUUUCCUUUUGUUUGACUCAG
rnacentral:lncRNA from 1 species